rnacentral:rRNA from 1 species
AGAGUUUGAUCCUGGCUCAGGACGAACGCUGGCGGCGUGCUUAACACAUGCAAGUCGAACGGAAAGGCCCUGCUUUUGUGGGGUGCUCGAGUGGCGAACGGGUGAGUAACACGUGAGUAACCUGCCCUUGACUUUGGGAUAACUUCAGGAAACUGGGGCUAAUACCGGAUAGGAGCUCCUGCUGCAUGGUGGGGGUUGGAAAGUUUCGGCGGUUGGGGAUGGACUCGCGGCUUAUCAGCUUGUUGGUGGGGUAGUGGCUUACCAAGGCUUUGACGGGUAGCCGGCCUGAGAGGGUGACCGGCCACAUUGGGACUGAGAUACGGCCCAGACUCCUACGGGAGGCAGCAGUGGGGAAUAUUGCACAAUGGGCGCAAGCCUGAUGCAGCAACGCCGCGUGCGGGAUGACGGCCUUCGGGUUGUAAACCGCUUUCGCCUGUGACGAAGCGUGAGUGACGGUAAUGGGUAAAGAAGCACCGGCUAACUACGUGCCAGCAGCCGCGGUGAUACGUAGGGUGCGAGCGUUGUCCGGAUUUAUUGGGCGUAAAGGGCUCGUAGGUGGUUGAUCGCGUCGGAAGUGUAAUCUUGGGGCUUAACCCUGAGCGUGCUUUCGAUACGGGUUGACUUGAGGAAGGUAGGGGAGAAUGGAAUUCCUGGUGGAGCGGUGGAAUGCGCAGAUAUCAGGAGGAACACCAGUGGCGAAGGCGGUUCUCUGGACCUUUCCUGACGCUGAGGAGCGAAAGCGUGGGGAGCGAACAGGCUUAGAUACCCUGGUAGUCCACGCUGUAAACGGUGGGUACUAGGUGUGGGGUCCAUUCCACGGGUUCCGUGCCGUAGCUAACGCUUUAAGUACCCCGCCUGGGGAGUACGGCCGCAAGGCUAAAACUCAAAGGAAUUGACGGGGCCCCGCACAAGCGGCGGAGCAUGCGGAUUAAUUCGAUGCAACGCGUAGAACCUUACCUGGGUUUGACAUGGAUCGGGAGCUUCCAGAGAUGGUUGUGCCUCUUUUGGGGUCGGUUCACAGGUGGUGCAUGGCUGUCGUCAGCUCGUGUCGUGAGAUGU